rnacentral:lncRNA from 1 species
CAUGUACGAAAUCCAACUAAUCUCGAACAGGAAACUAAAUGUUACAAAACAUACAAAUAAAAGUACGAAGUUAAUUUCAAUUAACUUCGUACAUCACAACACAUUGUGCUACGUCACGCGAAAUUUAACAACAUAAUAUAAAUAUAACUUCACAAAAAAAAUAUACACAUAACAAAUUAACUUUAACAUUUUUAAUAUAUAAAACGAAUAAAAUACCUUAUCAAUCGUUCUC